CCUACGGGAGGCAGCAGUGGGGAAUUUUGCGCAAUGCUCGUAAGAGUGACGCAGCGACGCCGCGUGAAUGACGAAGGCCCUCGGGUCGUAAAGCUCCUUCGACAGGGAAGAAAAUGCCUAUACGUAACUGUGUAUGUAUUGACGGUACCUGUAUAAGCAGCCCAGGCUAACUCCGUGCCAGCAGCCGCGGUAAUACGGAGGGGGCGAGCGUUGUUCGGUGUGAAUGGGCGUAAAGAGCACGUAGGCGGUGUUGUAAGUCAUUAGUCAAAGACUAGAGCUCAACUUUAGUAAGGCUAGUGAUACUAUGAGACUAGAGUAUGAGAGAGGAAUGCGGAAUUCCUGGUGUAGCGGUGAAAUGCGUAGAUAUCAGGAGGAAUACCGAUAGCGAAGGCGGCAAUCUGGCUGGAAACUGACGCUGAGGUACGAAAGCGUGGGUAGCAAACAGGAUUAGAUACCCUUGUAGUC
rnacentral:rRNA from 1 species